UCCGGUUUAACACCGGCAGUCCCCUCAGAGUGCCCAACUUAAUGGUGGCAACUAAGGGCAAGGGUUGCGCUCGUUGCGGGACUUAACCCAACAUCUUACGACACGAGCUGACGACAGCCAUGCAGCACCUAUCUCCUUGUCCCCGAAGGGAAGGCCGCAUCUCCGCGGAUGUCAAGGGAUGUUAAGCCCAGGUAAGGUUCUGCGCGUUGCUUCGAAUUAAACCACAUACUCCACCGCUUGUGCGGGCCCCCGUCAAUUCCUUUGAGUUUUAGCCUUGCGGCCGUACUCCCCAGGCGGGGUACUUAAUGCGUUAGCUACGGCACGGAUCCCAAGGAAGGAAACCCACACCUAGUACCCACCGUUUACGGCGUGGACUAC
rnacentral:misc_RNA from 1 species